rnacentral:rRNA from 1 species
UACGAAGGGGGCUAGCGUUGUUCGGAUUUACUGGGCGUAAAGCGCACGUAGGCGGGUCGUUAAGUCGAGGGUGAAAUCCUGGAGCUCAACUCCAGAACUGCCUUCGAUACUGGCGACCUAGAGUCCGGAAGAGGUGAGUGGAACUCCUAGUGUAGAGGUGGAAUUCGUAGAUAUUAGGAAGAACACCAGUGGCGAAGGCGGCUCACUGGUCCGGUACUGACGCUGAGGUGCGAAAGCGUGGGGGAGCAAACAGG